GUUGUUCGGGUGUUGGGGUGCACGCUAGUUUUUCGUACUAGAGGGGGUUUAUAAUAAUCGAUCAAUA
rnacentral:tRNA from 1 species